rnacentral:rRNA from 1 species
AAUUUUGGACAAUGGGGGAAACCCUGAUCCAGCCAUCCCGCGUGUAUGAUGAAGGCCUUCGGGUUGUAAAGUACUGUUGGUAGAGAAGAAAAGGUACCUCCUAAUACGAGGUACUGCUGACGGUAUCUGCCGAAUCAGCACCGGCUAACGACGUGCCAGUAGCAGCGGUAAUACGUAGGGUGCAAGCGUUAAUGGGAAUUACUGGGCGUAAAGAGUGUGUAGGCGGUUCGGAAAGAAAUAUGUGAAAUCCCAGGGCUCAACCUUGGAACUGCAUUUUUAACAGCCGAGCUAGAGUAUGUCAGAGGGGGGUAGAAUUCCACGUGUAGCAGUGAAAUGCGUAGAUAUGUGGAGGAAUACCGAUGGCGAAGGCAGCCCCCUGGGAUAAUACUGACGCUCAGACACGAAAGCGUGGGGAGCAAACAG